AAUCCCUGGGGGCUUGCUCCCAGGGGGAAGUGGCGAAAGGGGCAGUAAUGCGUGGGUAACCUACCCCGGGGACCGGGAUAGCCACCCUAACGGGUGGGUAAUACCGGGCGAUGCGGCGAGGGGGCAUCCUCUUGCCGUGAAAUGAGUUUCGCCUCGUGAGGGGCUCACGUGGUAUUAGCUAGUUGGUGAGGUAACGGCUCACCAAGGCCGAGAUGCCUAGCGGGUGUGAGAGCACGACCCGCGCCACUGGCACUGAGACACUGGCCAGACUCCUACGGGAGGCUGCAGUCGAGGAUCUUCGGCAAUGGGCGCAAGCCUGACCGAGCGACGCCGCGUGUGCGAUGAAGGCCUUCGGGUUGUAAAGCACUGUCGAGGGGGAGGAAAGCCGUAAGGUCUGACCUAUCCCUGGAGGAAGCACGGGCUAAGUUCGUGCCAGCAGCCGCGGUAAGACGAACCGUGCAAACGUUGUUCGGAAUCACUGGGCUUAAAGGGCGCGUAGGCGGCUUGCCAAGUCAGGGGUGAAAUCUUUCGGCUUAACCGGAAAAGUGCCUUUGAUACUGGCGAGCUAGAGGGAGGUAGGGGCAUGUGGAACUUCCGGUGGAGCGGUGAAAUGCGUUGAUAUCGGAAGGAACGCCGGUGGCGAAAGCGACGUGCUGGAUCUCUUCUGACGCUGAGGCGCGAAAGCUAGGGGAGCGAACGGGAUUAGAUACCCCGGUAGUCCUAGCCCUAAACGAUGGGUACUAGGUUGUGGACUUAACAUGGGUUCACAGCCGAAGCAAAAGUGUUAAGUACCCCGCCUGGGGAGUAUGGUCGCAAGGCUG
rnacentral:rRNA from 1 species